rnacentral:rRNA from 1 species
CCCUUAGAUGUUCUGGGCUGCACGCGUGCUACAAUGGCGCUUGCAACAAGUCUUGCCAACCCGAUAGGGUGAGCGGAUCUUUGAAGAGGCGUCGUGAUCGGGACAGUUGAUUGCAAUUAUUCGACUCGAACGAGGAAUUCCUUGUAAUCGCGAUUCAUCAUAUCGCGCUGAAUACGUCCCUGCCCUUUGUACACACCGCCCGUCGCUCCUACCGAUUGAGCGAUCCGGUGAAUGUUUUGGACUGGCGUCAGAAGCGGUUCGCUCCUGACACUAAGAAAUUUUGUAAACCUUAUCGCUUAGAGGAAGGAAAAGUCGUAACA